CUCGUACUGCAAAGAUAUGCAAUAAUCUGUGUUGCUGCUAGAAGUAGAAGACUAUUUACUUUAGUGUGACUGUUCUCGCCAUUGCACAAUUGAUUACAAUGCGAUUGCUGAUGUCUUCAUUUCUCAAUUAAUGGAGAGACUGUGAAGCUACUUCCUGUCAAGCUGCCUCCAGUAGACCAGCUAAUGGCCACCACUAGGCAAGACAUAUGUGGAGCUUCAAAAUCGAAGUCACUAAAAGACUAACCUCACUCACCUUUCAAAUUGAAAUAAAGCUGCCCCUUUUUAUGUACAUGAAGAUAUAAGCCCAACACAUUGUGGUUAGAGUAAUUAAACCAUGACAGGUCACAGGGUCAACUAAACACUAUGCUUCCUUGAUAUGAUUAUAGUACAUGUACCCUAUAGGUUUGAUAAUGCACCCACAGUGUACACUAUUUUAUGAUUUCACCAGUUGUAUUCACAACAGUGUUACAGUGUUACUGGAACAACUUUCAAUGUCCUUUUGAUGUAUUUUUAUGUUGCCUUUUAUUCUGUCAAUUAAAUUCUACUUUUCACUUACUUACAAUGUACAUUAAUCAAUUGUUGAUGAAACUGAGCUAAAAUAAUAGUCUCCUUACCUUUUUUUCUAUCUCCUUUAUAAAAAUUUUAAUCCUCUUUUUCUAGCUGGUUUCAGCUGCUUUUUUGGACUGGAAAACUAAAGAACUAAAUGAUUGAUCAAAGACGCAAUAGAAACAAUGAAAAUAUAGCUAGUUUUUAACAGUGUUUUGUGUGUUUGUUUUUAAGGAGACAUUAUUAGACUAUUACUAUUAUAAAUUAUUAAUAAUCGAGAGAAAGAGAGAAAACAGAUGAUCAGUGAGAGUGAAAAUAUACAAAAGGAA